UAGUUGCAGGGAUAAGGAAGAGACAGGAUACAGCCAGUUCUGCCCAAAGGUUUCAAAAUCACUUUGGGUCUAAAGGCUGGAAUUGGAAAAACUAACCAAUCCAUUGCCCACACUGAGCCUAGAAGGAUCUGAAAAGUGCAAAUCUGAGCAGCCGGUACCCUGCCCCAAAUCCCUGGUGAAAAGAGGGGGAAAAAAAUCAAAAGAAAACCGACCAACCUUGACCCACCACACCCUCAGGACUCAGGAUCAAGUCCAAUGCUCUGACGACUCACCACAUCCUCCGGGCUGCUCUCACAGGCUUGACUCCAAGCCCCACCUCUCCUUCCCCCACUGCCUGCCCUACCCUGGGCGCCGUGCUGUCCUUGGCACAUUGCCCUGCCCUGCCUUGCUGGGUCACGUGACUGGUGUCCCCAGAGUGGCGCCCCUCCCACCUCGGGCAGGAGCAGGUCUGCUGUCUCCUCUGUACCCACAACGCGAGUUUCCAUCAGUGAGAGGGGCCCCCUAGGUGUCUGUGGAAAGAACGGCAAAGGGAGGGACGGUGAAGGAGAAAGAGGCGGAAAUCAAUGAAUGAAAUCAGUGAGUGAAAUGAACCAAUCCACGGUUCUUCCUCAACUCCCAGGAUGCUUGAGGAACGACUGCAUUUACAAGGCCCCAGGGCUGGCCCUGCCCUGCCCUGCCCUGCCCUGCCCUUCUUGGGUCCCAGGACGGCCUUACUGUGCUGCUCUCCUUCUUUUCUGUCUCUUCUAGCUCCACCCCCAGGGCACCCACCAGCAGGCACAAAGAGUGUGGGGCCUCCUGGGCAGGGCAGGACCCUCUAGAGAAUAACCCUUCCCAGGCAGAGAGGACAAGGACCACAGGUCAGAGUGAGAGCGCCCACCGCACACUUCCCAGGGGCCGAAACCCCGUCUCCUUACCUGGACGUUCCAGCUACAGCGGCCAGGCCAACGCGCUUCUCCGUGCGUCUCCCACGCCCCGACGCAGCCAUGUCCCAGCCGGCUCACUGAACUCACUGUGGUUCCUUCCAGGACUCUUCAGUGUUAGGCAAUGGUGACGCAUAAAGGCACUGUUGUCUCAGUUGCGAGCUGGGGCUGACCCUGCCCUCCCUCGGCACUCAGCCCCCAUCUGGCGACUAAGCAAGGGCCGAGUGCUACCUGCUUCCACGUCUCCUGUGCCUGGAACACAGUAGGGGCUCAAUAAACGGACAAACAGUGA